CGCGCGCUCAAUUCGAUCUGCAGGGGAGAGAGUGAAGAUGAGAGGGAGAAGGAGGGAGAGGAGGGUGAAAUUGCGGAAAGAGGAUAGGGAGGUGCGGCUUCGAAUGGGAGAGGGUCUCCGCUGGCGUUGGCCUGCGCCGGCGAGGUCGGGCGCGACCUGGCCAUUGGUGGCGGCUCGAUUCGCUCCUAGAUCGGCUUGUGCAGUGCGGUGGUGCGGCGGACGGCCGCUCGUGUAGUGGCCUCAGCGGGUGGGCGACGACACCUGCAGCUGGUGCACAAUGGCGACGGCAUGCAGCUCCUGUGCCCCGCAACACUCUCCUUCCACGCACAGCAGGAGCGGGAGCAAGGAUGCUGAGGCAGUAGUUCAGGAUUGCCAUGAUGAGCUGCUGCUGUAGUGCUUUAUAAUUUUUUGGCCCCUUCCUAAAUGUUCGCAACCUGAUAGUUCUGCACAUUUGGUAGGAGCAGCGAAUGUGCUCAUGGAAGCUCAUUACCUUGAUUAGGUAAAAUUGUUAUGAUUUUGUUUCAUAUAUGAAUAGCUAGAUGCACAGUGUUUUCGUAUCGUAUAUAUCAUUCUAGAUCUUGGACAAAGUACAUGCCUAUUUCCCUUUCUUCAGGUAGUAAAUCCAGGUUGAUUUCUAGACCCAUGAAGACCUAUGAUGUUAAAUGAAUCCUUCAGACUUUUAAUCGCGUGUUCUCUUCGCUCCUCUGCGCAGCAGCGACGGCGCCGCUCCUCCUCAUGGCCACGGGUGAAGCAGCAGCGGCACCGCUCCUCCUCAUGGCCAUGGGUGAAGCAGCAGCGGCGCCGCUCCUCCUCAUGGCCACGGGUGAAGCAGCAGCGGCGCCGCUCCUCCUCAUGGCCAUGGGUGAAGCAGCAGCGGUGCCGCUCCUCCUCAUGGCCAUGGUCGCAUCCUCCUCAUGCACCUCCUUUGCACGCGCUUCCCGCUUCCGCUUGCUCGUUCUCCGGGUGUUUUAGUCAGAACAGGCAGGGUGGAGAGGGCACAUAGAAGCUAGGCAGGCCACAGACAACAGUGUGUUGCAGUGAGGACAACAGUGAAUGACACUGGACGAAUCCGUCCUGGUCGAGCCCCCACCCAGAUGGCUACCUGCAGAGGAGAUGUCAAGGACAGGUCCCAGUUCAUGGCGGAGACACCAGCACAGAUAGGGUUUGGGUGGGGGUUGAUUCCUACCCUGAUGGCAACAACCCUCCUUCCGCAACCUUGCCCGCCGAGUGCACUGAGCUGUUUUGCUGUACAAAGAGCCUCUCCUUUUCAAUGUACCUAAUAUGGCUAAAUGCGUAACGAAAAGGCCUGUCUUCCUAGACUCCUAGAUCCAACAGUUGCACGAAUAAGCAAAGGAUAUUUGUUUUCAAAGGCUCUGUUACGAGUGAAAUGCGGCAAUGGAAGCAAGGAAUCACGGCUUACUUCUAUUCGGAUUCCAUAUCUACUAGGACAAUCCUGAUAUCCUUCUCAUCAUUUAUAUUUGAUUCCUUGGAGAUUCAUAAAGAAGGAAUGCAUCCACAAUAUUGGUAUAAAAUUUGUUUGGAUGGUUCAGAAUCUUUAGAUGGCAUGGGUGAGACAUAAUUUGUUGUAUUUGGAUAUUUCUCAUGGUUACAGUGUCUGAGCAUGACAAGCAGCAAAGAGGGAGGGGAUUUCAAAUACUCCCUCCGUUCCUAAAUCAGUCUUGCUCCUUCGGCCCUUCAACAACAGUUCACCGAUUAGUUUAUCAGUCGGCGGCAGCAGCAGUGGUCCGCAGCACGGCAGCAGGCAACACGAGCGGAGAAGGUAGUGAGGGAAGGAGAAGAAGCAGCA